CUGCUGGCUCCUGACCCCUACCGCAGGAAGACACGGCAACCGUGGGAGCAGCGGACUUUUCAAAAGCCCCUAGGAAGGGAGAACAGCACCGAGCCACAGAGCCGUGACUUCUGGUCUAGGCACCCUGGUGGGAACUAUGUGGGACCAGAAUUAGCAUGCACCAGCUAAAUACCAGGAAGAGGCACUAGAGUUGGGUGUACAGGAAGGCUGUGACCAAGUUGUUGCUAAAACAACAUGCGAAAACCACCUCCUGUUAAAAAAUAAAAACCAAACCACCCACUCAGCUUUAAGCUGCUCUGGAAGAGCUUUA